rnacentral:rRNA from 1 species
CCUACGGGAGGCUGCAGUGGGGAAUAUUGGACAAUGGGGGCAACCCUGAUCCAGCCAUGCCGCGUGUGUGAAGAAGGCCCUCGGGUUGUAAAGCACUUUCAGUGAGGAAGAACGCCUGGUGGUUAAUACCCAUCAGGGAAGACAUCACUCACAGAAGAAGCACCGGCUAACUCCGUGCCAGCAGCCGCGGUAAUACGGAGGGUGCGAGCGUUAAUCGGAAUUACUGGGCGUAAAGCGCGCGUAGGUGGCUUGAUAAGCCGGUUGUGAAAGCCCCGGGCUCAACCUGGGAACGGCAUCCGGAACUGUCAAGCUAGAGUGCAGGAGAGGAAGGUAGAAUUCCCGGUGUAGCGGUGAAAUGCGUAGAGAUCGGGAGGAAUACCAGUGGCGAAGGCGGCCUUCUGGACUGACACUGACACUGAGGUGCGAAAGCGUGGGUAGCAAACAGGAUUAGAUACCCGAGUAGUC